ACGGAAGGCAGCAGUGGGGAAUAUUGCGCAAUGGGCGAAAGCCUGACGCAGCGACGCCGCGUGAGGGAUGAAGGUUCUCGGAUCGUAAACCUCUGUCAGGGGGGAAGAAACCCCCUCGUGUGAAUAAUGCGAGGGCUUGACGGUACCCCCAAAGGAAGCACCGGCUAACUCCGUGCCAGCAGCCGCGGUAAUACGGAGGGUGCAAGCGUUAAUCGGAAUCACUGGGCGUAAAGCGCACGUAGGCGGUCUGGUAAGUCAGAGGUGAAAGCCCACAGCCCAACUGUGGAACUGCCUUUGAUACUGCCAGACUUGAGUACCGGAGAGGGUGGCGGAAUUCCAGGUGUAGGAGUGAAAUCCGUAGAUAUCUGGAGGAACACCGGUGGCGAAGGCGGCCACCUGGACGGUAACUGACGCUGAGGUGCGAAAGCGUGGGUAGCAAACAGGAUUAGAUACCCUGGUA
rnacentral:rRNA from 1 species